CCCUUAGAUGUUCUGGGCCGCACGCGUGCUACACUGAGUAAAUCAAUGGGUAAGGGGACACGAAAGUGCAACCUAAUCUUGAAAUUUGCUCGUGAUGGGGAUCGACGGUUGCAAUUUUCCGUCGUGAACGAGGAAUACCUUGUAGGCGCGUGUCAUCAUCACGCGCCGAAUACGUCCCUGCCCUUUGUACACACCGCCCGUCGCUCCUACCGAUUGAGUGAUCCGGUGAGGCUCUGGGACCUGGACGGAAAGAGCGUUUCGCUUGUUCUGUUUGGGAAACUUGGUCGAACCUUAUCAUUUAGAGGAAGGAGAAGUCGUAACA
rnacentral:rRNA from 1 species